rnacentral:rRNA from 1 species
AUUGAACGCUGGCGGCAGGCCUAACACAUGCAAGUCGAGCGAGCGGCGGACGGGUGAGUAAUGUCUGGGAAACUGCCUGAUGGAGGGGGAUAACUACUGGAAACGGUAGCUAAUACCGCAUACCAUCAGAUGUGCCCAGAUGGGAUUAGCUGUUAGGUGGGGUAACGGCUCACCUAGGCGACGAUCCCUAGCUGGUCUGAGAGGAUGACCGGCCACACUGGAACGGUAACACGGUCCAAACUCCUAGGGGGGGAAGCAGAGGGGAAUAUUGCACAAGGGGCGCAAGCCUGAUGCAGCCAUGCGGCGUGUGUGAAGAAGGCCUUCGGGUUGUAAAGCACUUUCAGAGGGGAGGCGUUACCCGCAGAGGAAGCACCGGCUAACUCCGUGCCAGCAGCCGCGGUAAUAC